GCUGCUUUGUUUACCCAAGCAAGCCUGGGCAAUGGCGGGCGCCCCUCCCCCAGCCUUGCUGCGGCCUUGCAGUUUGAUCUCAGACUGCUGUGCUAGCAAUCAGCGAGACUCCGUGGGCGUAGGACCCUCCUAGCCAGGUGCAAGAUAUAAUCUCGCGGUGCGCCGUUUUUUAAGCCGGUCCGAAAGCGCAAUAUUCGGGUGGGAGAGACCCGAUUUUCCAGUGAGAUGAACCCAGUACCUCAGAUGGAAAUGCAGAAAUCACCCGUCUUCUGCGUCGCUCACGCUGGGAGCUGUAGACCGGAGCUGUUGCUAUUCGGCCAUCUUGGCUCCUCUCCUAGACAGAUUAUGCAGUGCGUCUUUGCAACAGAGAGGAGGUCUGCUCAUCCCACAUUUGGAGCACCCGUGGGUGGAGCAGGGAAGAUUUCUGGGAAACAGUGUUUGAAUUGAAUCAUGAAAAUGAGUAGGAGUCUGCUACAUGGGUAAGGGAGGGAAGAAAAGUCAGUAGAGAAGGUAGGCAGUGCUUGCAAAGGCCUGAGCACUGCAAGAAUGGACUAAUACGCUAUGUGAAGACAAAGGGGAUGUCUGCAAGCCAGGACGAGUGCGUCUACCAGAAACUGAGUUCUGCUGGACUUUGAUCUAGGACAUCCAGCCUCCAGAAUGGAAUGUGCCAUAUGUGGAGACCUGCAUGGAAAGGAACUGAGGAUGCUCUCUCACUAAAAGCUAGAAGGAACUGAGGCCCUCAGUCAACAGUCUACAAGACACUGAAUCUUGCCAGCAGCCAAGCAGUGAGCUUGAAAGCAGAUCUAUCAUCAGCUGAACCUUCAGAUGAGACCGCAGCCUAAGCAGAUACCUUGGUUGCAGCCAUGUGAGACAACCUGAAACAGAGGGCACAGCUAAGCCUCAGCCAGGUUCAUGACCCUCUGAGGAAACUGUGAGAAAGCAAAUGUCAUUUUAAGCUAUUUAAUUUUGGAGGUAGUUUAUUACACAACAAUAAAUAACUAUUAUAAUUAUCUUGAGGAUUUAUUUCCUGGGGAGAAUACAUGGAAUUGCAUAUAUAGGUCCUCAUAUGCAGAAUACUGGUACCCUAGAGAUGUUCACCCCAGAGAUGUUUUAGGAACCUGUGAAUAUGUUACAUUAAAUGGCAAAGUUUUCCUGGAUGGUUUAAGUUUAAGAUGGAAAAGUUUUACUGGAUUAUCCAGUGGGUCCAAUCUAGUAACAUGAGUCCUUAAAAAUGGAGAAUAUUUUUUGGCCAUGAUCAGAGAGACAUGUGAUGAUGGAAAAAGUGUCAGAGAUGCAAUGUGAGGGGACUAAAACUGCUGUUGCUGACUUUAAAGAUGGAGAGAGGGGAACCCGAGUCAAGGAAUGCAAAUGGCCUCUGGAAGCUGGAAAAAGCAAGAAAUGGAUUCUCCUUUAGAGCCUGUGGAAUAAAAUGCAGUCAUGCUGACACCUUGAUUUUACCUCAGUGAGACCAAUACUGGAGUAUGACCUUCGGAGCGGAAUAAAAUUAUACGUACACAUCUUAAUUUCUUGGGAUUUGAUUACUUCUUCUGCUUUGAAAUUAGACCAAGUUUAGCCUGCCUUUGCUAUUUUGGCGUAUCUCCAAUUCUUCAUGAUUUUCUCAGUGUUGCCUCCAUAUGAUGCAAAAUAUCCAACCUAGCCCUGACAUGAAAACUUAAUUGAAAGUAUCCAACAGUGGAAAAUUGUUGAACAUCUACAUACGAAGAUGAAGGGAAAACUUGAAAGCAGUCAGAGGAAAAAAAAGGACACAUUACCUUCAAAUGGACAAUAAGAUGGAUGGCUAAUUAAAGCGCAAAGGCCACAUAAGGACAGUGAGAAGGCAGCCACCUGCAAGCCAGGAAGAAAGGUCUCACCAGAUACCAACCCUGCCAGCAUGUUGAUCUUGGACUUCCAGCCUCCAAAACGGGCCUUCUGCUCACAUGGGCUUCCGUGCACCUGCUUCAGGAGACAGCAACACUUGCGCCCGCACCGCGGCAGGCUCCCAUCACCUGGUGGAUAUGCCGCGCCGAGUCUCAUCACACCUUAGUGAAGGAACACAUGGACCCAUAUGUUAGCGGAUGUAUUUACAUCGUUUUAUACAGAAAGGGGA
rnacentral:lncRNA from 10 species